rnacentral:tRNA from 1 species
CACUCUGUGGCGCAAUUGGUAGCGUGCUCGCCUUCAAGAGUGGGAGACCAGGGUUUGAUCCCCGGUCGGGUCA